UCAAGAAGCGUUUUCGGUGCGCGUCUGGGUAUAAGUUCUUUGGAACAGGACAUCAUAGAGGGUGAGAAUCCCGUUUAUGACCCGGAACAGCGUACUAUGUGAUACGUUUUCUAAGAGUCAGGUUGUUUGGGAAUGCAGCCUAAAAUGGGUGGUAAAUUUCAUCUAAAGCUAAAUAUUGGCGAGAGACCGAUAGCGAACAAGUACCGUGAGGGAAAGAUGAAAAGAACUUUGAAAAGAGAGUUAAACAGUACGUGAAAUUGUUGAAAGGGAAACGUUUGAAAUCAGUCGUGCGGGCGGGUAAUCAGCUUGGCCUUUGGGUCUUGUGCACUUACUCGUCUCGCAGGCCAGCGUCGGUUUUGUUUGCCGGAUAAAUGCCAAUGGAAUGUAGCUCAACCUUUUACGAGGAGGGGUGUUAUAGCCCUGGUAAAUACGGCGGUCGAGACCGAGGUCUGCAGUUGAUGCCUCUCGGGGCUGGGGACUCCAUCGCUCAUUCGCACCCGCGCCUAGACAGCUUGCUGACUAGGUGUGUGGUCUGUGGGUGACACGGUGG
rnacentral:rRNA from 1 species